CAGCAGCCGCGGGAAUACGGAGGAUCCAAGCGUUAUCCGGAUUUAUUGGGUUUAAAGGGUGCGUAGGUGGCUUAUUAAGUCAGGGGUGAAAGACGGUAGCUUAACUAUCGCAGUGCCUUUGAUACUGAUGAGCUUGAAUGAACUAGAGGUAGGCGGAAUGUGACAAGUAGCGGUGAAAUGCAUAGAUAUGUCACAGAACACCAAUUGCGAAGGCAGCUUACUAUGGUUUUAUUGACACUGAGGCACGAAAGCGUGGGGAUCAAACAGGAUUAGAUACCCCUGUAGUCCCUGUCUCUUAUAA
rnacentral:rRNA from 1 species